rnacentral:rRNA from 1 species
GGCGAUCAGAUACCGCCCUAGUUCUGACCGUAAACGAUGCCAACUAGCGAUCCGCCGGUGGAUUUUUUGCCCUGGUGGGGAGCUUCCCGGAAACGAAAGUCUUCCGGUUCCGGGGGAAGUAUGGUUGCAAAGCUGAAACUUAAAGGAAUUGACGGAAGGGCACCACCAGGAGUGGAGCCUGCGGCUUAAUUUGACUCAACACGGGGAAACUCACCCGGCCCGGACACCGUAAGGAUUGACAGAUUGAUAGCUUUUUCAUGAUUCGGUGGAUGGUGGUGCAUGGCCGUUCUUAGUUCGUGGAGCGAUUUGUCUGGUUUAUUCCGAUAACGAGCGAGACUCUAGCCUACUAAAUAGUUCACACAUUGCCUCUGUGUGUGCAACUUCUUAGAGGGAUUUUCGGUGUUUAGCCGCACGAGAUUGAGCAAUAACAGGUCUGUGAUGCCCUUAGAUGUCCGGGGCUGCACGCGCGCUACACUGGCGAAAUCAGCGUGCUUGUCCUUUCUCGAAAGAGAUUGGUAAACCAUUGAAAAUUUGCCGUGAUUGGGAUCGGAAAUUGCAAUUAUUUUCCGUGAACGAGGAAUUCCAAGUAAGUGCGAGUCAUCAACUCGCGUUGAUUACGUCCCUGCCCUUUGUA